rnacentral:ncRNA from 1 species
GGGCCCAAGGGCCUCAAACAUAGCGGGGCGCCCAACGCCUCGCACUGCUAAACGGAAGACAGAAA